UACGAAGGGGGCGAGCGUUGUUCGGAAUUACUGGGCGUAAAGGGCGCGUAGGCGGUGUGUCAAGUCAGGCGUGAAAGCCCCGGGCUCAACCUGGGAACGGCGCUUGAGACUGGCACGCUCGAGUUCGGGAGAGGAUGGUGGAAUUCCCAGUGUAGAGGUGAAAUUCGUAGAUAUUGGGAAGAACACCGAUGGCGAAGGCAGCCAUCUGGACCGACACUGACGCUGAGGCGCGAAAGCGUGGGGAGCGAACAGG
rnacentral:rRNA from 1 species